AGAGUUUGAUCCUGGCUCAGAACGAACGCUGGCAGCGUGGAUUAGGCAUGCAAGUCGAACGGGAUUGACCUGAUAGCAAUAUUGGGUCAUGAGAGUGGCGAAAGGGCGAGUAAUGCAUGGGCAAUCUAUCCUUGAGUUCGGGAUAACUCAGCGAAAGUUGAGCUAAUACCGGAUGUGGUUACGGCGGGGCAUCCUGCUGUUACUAAAGAUGGGGCUCCUUCGGGACCUGUCGCUCUCGGCGGAGCCCGUGUGCCAUCAGCUUGUUGGUGAGGUAACGGCUCACCAAGGCUUACGGCUAGCUGGUCUGAGAGGACGAUCAGCCGCACUGGGACUGAGACACUGCCCAGACUCCUACGGGAGGCUGCAGUCGAGGAUCAUUCGCAAUGCGCGAAAGCGUGACGAUGCGACGCUGCGUGGAGGACGACGGCCUUCGGGUUGUAAACUCCUGUCAUGGGGGAAAAAUGUAUUGGAUGUUAACAGCAUCUGGUAUUUGAUGGUACCCCAAGAGGAAGCCACGGCUAACUCUGUGCCAGCAGCCGCGGUAAUACAGAGGUGGCGAGCGUUGUUCGGAUUUACUGGGCGUAAAGGGCGCGUAGGCGGCAUUGUGUGUCGUAUGUGAAAUCCCCGGGCUCAACCCGGGAAGUGCAUGCGAAACUGCAGCGCUAGAGCAGAGGAGGGGAGAGCGGAAUUCAUGGUGUAGCGGUGAAAUGCGUUGAUAUCAUGAGGAACACCCGAGGCGAAGGCGGCUCUCUGGAAUCUUGCUGACGCUCAGACGCGAAAGCGGGGGGAGCAAACAGGAUUAGAUACCCUGGUAGUCCCGGACCUAAAAAAAAAACAGGUGGCGUGGGGGGGCUCACCCCCCUCCCGUGCCGGAGCUAACGUGGUUAAGUGUUGCCGCCUGGGGAGUACGGGCCGCAAGGCUAAAACUCAAAGAAAUGGCCGGGGGCCCGCACAAGCGGAGGAGCAAUGUGGCCUUAAUUCGAUGCAACACGAAGAACCUUACCCGGGUUUGACAUGUAACUGCACAUCCUGUGAAAGCAGGAUUCCUUCGAGGGUGUUACACAGGUGCUGCAUGGCUGUCGUCAGUUCGUGCCGUGAGGUGUUUGGUUAAGUCCAGCAACGAACGCAACCCCUGUGUCCAAUUGCCAGCGAGUAAUGUCGGGAACUUUGGACAGACUGCCUGUUUACGCAGGAGGAAGGUGGGGACGACGUCAAGUCAGUAUGGCCCUUACAUCCGGGGCUGCACACGUGCUACAAUGGUCGGUACAAUGGGACGCUAAGCCGUAAGGUGGCGCAAAUCCCCAGAGCCGGCCCCAGUUCAGAUUGCGGUCUGCAAUUCGACCGCAUGAAGUCGGAUUCGCUAGUAACGGCGUAUCAGCUACGACGCCGUGAAUAAGAUCCCGGCCCUUGCACACAC
rnacentral:rRNA from 1 species